AUCGCUUCUCGGCCUUUUGGCUAAGAUCAAAGUGUAGUGCGUACGAUCACAGUGCACUACCUUUG
rnacentral:snRNA from 1 species